rnacentral:rRNA from 1 species
AACAAGGUUUCCGUAGGUGAACCUGCGGAAGGAUCAUUAUUGAAUAAAGCUUGGUUGGGUUGUAGCUGGCUCUCCGGGGCAUGUGCACGCCUGACGCCAAUCUUUUCACCACCUGUGCACCUUUUGUAGGCUUGGAUAAAUAUAUCUCGAGGAAGCUCGGUUUGAGGACUGCCGUGCUGCAAAGGCCAGGCUUUCCUUGUAUUUUUUCUAGCCUAUGUGUUUUAUUAUAUACUCAGCAUGCCUUGGAAUGUUAUUUGGUGGGCUUAAUUGCCAGUAAACCUUAUACAACUUUCAACAACGGAUCUCUUGGCUCUCGCAUCGAUGAAGAACGCAGCGAAAUGCGAUAAGUAAUGUGAAUUGCAGAAUUCAGUGAAUCAUCGAAUCUUUGAACGCACCUUGCGCUCCUUGGUAUUCCGAGGAGCAUGCCUGUUUGAGUGUCAUGAAAUUCUCAACCCUCUCAGCUUUUGCUGAAUUGGCUUGGAUUUUGGGAGUUUUUGCAGGCUUCUCAGAAGUCUGCUCUCCUUAAAUGUAUUAGCGGGGGCCCUUGUUGUCUAGCAUUUGGUGUGAUAAUUAUCUACGCCAUUGUGAACAAUGUAAUAGGGAGUUCGGCUUCUAAUCGUCUCGCAAAGAGACAAUCUCUGACAUUUUGACCUCAAAUCAGGUAGGACUACCCGCU